rnacentral:rRNA from 1 species
UACGUAGGGGGCAAGCGUUGUCCGGAUUUAUUGGGCGUAAAGAGCGUGUAGGCGGCCUGGUAGGUCAGUUGUGAAAACUCGAGGCUCAACCUCGAGACGCCGAUUGAAACCAUCAGGCUAGAGUCCGGAAGAGGAGAGUGGAAUUCCCGGUGUAGCGGUGAAAUGCGCAGAUAUCGGGAAGAACACCCGUGGCUAAGUCGGCUCUCUAGUACGGUACUGACGCUGAGACGCGAAAGCGUGGGGAGCGAACAGG